CAUUUGCUGGCACGCUUUGGCCCCCACAGCGCAAACCUAGCUCUCUUUGCCCUCGACCCCCACAGCGGAGCGCAUCACCACUCCCUCCUCCCUCAUCAGCCGCUGCCGGGUCUUCUCGCUGGGGUGGAACAGUAGGGGAUCCGGCCGGAUCCGAGGCGUGCGGGCGUGGUGGCAGGCAUCUUUGGCAGCGGCGGCGGCGGGCAUCUCCGACAUAAGGCGAUGGCGGGGAUGCUCGAUUCGCCAUGAACCGGUCCCUGCAGGAGAGAGAAAGAAAGAGAGGAGGGAGAAAGCGAGAGGAAAGGGAGAGGGAGGUGCGACGGCGGGCGGGAGAGGGUCUCCGGCUGGUGCGAGACAUUCACGUCUCUCCUCCUCUCCUGCUCUCGACCACCACCGUGGCCCUCCUUCUCCCCUUCAAUUCCCUGUCUCCUCUUCUCUGGAGUUACCUGAGUGGUCAACACCGAGAAAGAUGGGGAAGACAGAGCCAGCGAGGAAGACGGCUUGACUCUGCCGCCGAUGCUGACCGGCCAAUUCCGUCGGGCGCCGUCAUGGGAGGAGGUGAACCAUCGAGGAGCAGCACGGGAGGAGAUAAAGAUAAGCCGCCGGUCUCCCGGUUCACUUCUGGUUGCAUCUUGCCCGUGAGCUCCUUCUUCUUACAGCCAGCUUGGCCCUUUUCUCGCCAUCUUUUGGGUAAUGCAGCGUAUCAAGCAGGCGAAGGCGAGGAUCAGAUGCGGUAGCAGCUGAAGGAGUCAUGGAGAGGGGGCGAGAGUGAGCAGCGGCUGUCGACCAAGAAGGAAGAGGCUAGGGCGAGGACCGGAGGAGGAGGCGCUCAUGGUGGAGCAUAGGAGGAUGGAGGCGGAGUGCUACUGCAACGGCUGUGGGACUGGGCGAAAGGAUGAAAUUAUUGUUUACUUUAGAUUGGGGUGCUGGAGCCAAUGAAAAAAGAUCACUGCAGCUUUGAAUGUAGGCACACGUCAAAUGAAACUAUUGGAUGGAGCAAUUCAGUGCGGUGGGGUACAGGGGCUGGUGCAGGAGGAUAUAUAACAGCAGAGUUCAUCUCUGUUUUGCUGACAAUUUACACUGAAACUGUUGAAAAGUAGAUAAUCAGCCAAUAAACAGUAAAUCAUCACAUCUAUUUGCUUUUCUGGUAUAUGGGGCCAUUAUUAUUCUGGUACUUCUAAAGAGUCAUUAUUCUUAUGGUACUUCUAAAUUUGCAUAUCUUUGUGUUCAGAUGGAAGUCACCUGGCAAAGGUCUAACGUUUCAGAUUUAAUGUUAUAUACAUGCCCAAGAGUAAUACGUUAUAUAAUAUACUCUAGACUGUAUUCUUAUUUAGUUUUUUUUCAUGCUUCUUGUUUCACUGGGCUAUUGCAAAGAUGACAUAUCCACUUGGAGUUGGAUAUUAUUUUGAUAACCAUAUCUAGCUAUUUUUACAAAAAAUAUCAAUUAACUUGCAUCGAUUCAAUGCUAGAGCGGUAGUCAUGAAACAUUGCCACUGCGCCACAAGGCGAUUAAAAUCAUGGAAAUUGAUAUAAAAGUUACUUGUGAUUUAUAUAGUCAUGUAAUCACAAACCAUAAUGAUAAAAAAGCCAAAUCAUUUAUUUUAUUGGAGAAUACAUCAAAUAUAUGGAUAAUCAAAGGUGAAUGUAAAUGAAAUGCUCCAUGUACGUUUAGGCUCCAGUAUAAGAUUAAAAUAGUGGAUAAAUCAUUGUACCAUAUUCAAUUAGAACUACAAAGAAGAAGAGAAAUGAUUGAAUAGCAAAUUCUGACCGGCCAAUUCCGCCGGGCACCGUCAUGGGAGGAGGCGAACCAUCGAGGAGCAGCAUGGGAGGAGAUGAAAAUAAGCUGUCGGACUCCCUAUUCACUUCUGGUUGCAUCUUGCCUGUGAGCUCCUUCUUCUUACAGCUAGCUUGGCCCUUUUCUUGUCAUGCUUUGGGUGUUCCUUCCUACAGCCAGCUUGGCCAUUUGCUUUGGAAGUAGUAAUUCAACUCAGAAAGCAUAAAUAAUUUGAGACUGCUUCUGUCCUCCCUACAAUUUGUUGAAGUCAUCAUUCUUUUUUCUUUUUUUCUGUAGUUUUUCCUCAUCUUUUACAGUGUAUUUGGGUUAUUUCAUUCUCUGGUACUUGGGCAUAUUGGUUGUCUUGUUGUCUCCUUUUACUAACAGUAUUUCCUAUUUAGUGUAUGGGAGAGGUUACUAGCUCACAUAUAUAGUUUACUUAUUAAGUUUCUAAAUAAGUUCAGCCUCAGAGCUCGGAUUUUGUACGCUUCAAAAUUGGAGUGUGACUUUUGCUUGCUAAUUGAUUCAGUUAUGGUGUGGUUGCCUACUACUCAAAAUGAUUUUAUAUCGUAUCAUAAAUUUCAGGAACCGUAUCACAACAAAUCAUUGGCAUUGCAACUUCAAGGACAUGUAUGAUGCAUAUCCCAUCACUGAACAAGAUUGGAUUUUAGUGAUUCUCUGAGAUUUGAUGCAAAAUAUUGAUGGUCGGGUGAAUGUAGUGGACUCGUCGAGAUCGAGGGCACCAACGUCAUAUGCCGAGGGCGUCCAUCGACAACCUGCCCAAUGUCCGGAUUCACCGAGGAGUACAACUGGAGACACUAUUGGUUGCCUGCAGGCCUGUGAGUACUUGCACUUGGACUUUUUUUAUGAGCAGUACUAAGUAAUCUAAUGAUAUGCUCCUUGCAAUCUAAGGAAACAAAAUAAAUCUAAGUCAUUUCCGAUCCUAAGGUUUGGGUACUAACUAUUUGUGUUUAUGUCUACAAGCUUUUGAUUUUCUGCGUGGUCUAUCUUUUAUUUGCAAUGUUGGACACUCUUUCCUUUUCUUGUGAAUAAUGUUUCUGUUUGAUCGUACUCUCGAUAUACUGCAUAUUAACUCUAUACUACAGAAUUUGUGAACAAUCAGUACUACACCCGGUUAUCUAGAGAGGAAGGCAAUGACAACUAGAUUAGACAUUUCACAAGAUCCUCCCAAUUACAGACAUAAACUCCUUGAUUAUCGGAGAUUGUCAGAUGGAAAGAAGGUGUAUCCUUUAUCUUUAUUUAGAUGUUUAAUUAGCUGUACAACCGUACAUGAUUUUGUAAGGAAACUAUUUAUCUUGAUGAUCCUGAUAUCGAGUCGUGUAUUAGUAUAGGCUGUAAUUUUUGGCUAGGAAUCUAUAUAUGCAGCCAUGUAUGAAUAGGCUAUGAUUCUUUUUUCCUUCUGAACAGAUUCUUUUUUUGUUCAUUCCUUGUGAAAUAAUUCCAGAGCUACUUUGUUGUAGUAAUUAUUUGGCACAUCCAUAACUCACCCAGUUUAUGCGUGAUUAUUUAGUGUAUUUGGUUCCAAAGUGAACAAACUAUUGGCCUUCGCUAGGCAAGGAUAGGUGUUUGGUACCAAAACAAAAAAUUAACUUUGUCAAGCUAACUAGCAUGCAUGGGUUUGAAUCAGCUACUUCUUAUAUCCCUGGACUAUAGAUAUUACAUGCAUCAGUACUUGAUGCAUCUCUGAUAACUUUUUGCUAAUAUCAUUGAAUUUCUCAUGAGAUCUCUCUAGACCUUUCCAAAUGUAUUUUAGUUCAGUGUUUUGUAUUAACUAGUAGAAGAAGGGAUGCAAAUGGAAAGAAUUUGAGAUGCAUAAACAUGAAAGCACUAAAAGAUUCUCUCAAAGCAAAGAUGUCUAGCCGGGAUACAUAUGGCAAGAACCUUCAGAGAUUGACUUAUUUUCAGCUGCUAUUGAGAUAUAUACUUGCUCAUAGGUCACAACUCAUGAAGUUACCUCCUUUUGGUUUUGAUUUUGAAAUAUAUGUGUCAUAGGUCACAACUGAUGAAGUUACUUCCUUUUUGUGAAGGUCUGAAUAUCGUCAUGAUCUUGGCUGAGAGGCUGGCAUUUUGGAAGGUUCUCGUGUGUAUAGAUUAGUUAAUAGGAUGACAAUUUAAGUUUAUUGAAGCUCUUCGUUAGGAGGCGGGGGUCUGCUUUGGUUUCUUGCUAUUUUCCUUUCUCUCAAAGUACUUGAUCGGAUGCAUCUGACAGUUUAUAAAUCAAUAAUUUGGAUGGUUCUACUUAAAUUAUAACUCUUAGUCUUUUCACUUAAAAAUAAUGUGAGUUAUUUUUUAGGGGAAAAUAGCUUUUGUUCACUUAAUAAAUCAUGUUCGUUAUAAUCAAUGCUGCUAUAUCAAAAAGUAGUGUCUCGUGCUGGGUAGCAUCCAUGUAGCUAUUUCUUGAUCAUAUAAUCUUAUAUCCUAUAUGUGCAAAUCAGGCCUUUAGGCUACUAGAAUUUCACUAUUGUUUAACUUAGGAAAAGCUGAUUGACAUGAAUUAUAUGUGAUUCAACACUUUUAUUAAGUUUCCAUUCUUCUUUUAGCUUAUUAGUUGCUACCUAAGAUAGUACCAAGCAUGAUCUUUGGUUUGCCAUGUACAACACCACAGAGUCAUUUUAUUAAGCUGGCAUUAGUAAUUUUGCAUUUUACAUGGUUCAUGUGCAAGUUAAACAUCUGCCCAAUAAUACUAAUAUUAAGUUUAUAAUGUUGGCACAGUCUGUUAUUGCCGUUAUCUUCUUGGGAGUACUUGAGAAGGAGUGGCUGGGAAUGUGGGGACAUGGCAUGGCAGAGGUGCAUGGUUGGUUGGAGGAGUCACGGAGGCAUGAAUGUGGACAUGUGGAUGUUAUCGUGGCAUUGAUACGUUUCACUGCACCGAUGCUGCAUACCAAGGAUUCGUUGGAAGCCAAACAGGGCACCCGAGAAGGAGAAGAGGAGAAUGCUCUGAAGAGAGGAAAUGAUAAGUUUUAUCGUUUUGUUUUAAGAGCAAGAUAAGAUUUGAUAUGUAGUUCCCUGGUUUCUUUGUAUUCUACUCCCUCUGUCCCGAAAUAAGUGUCUCGACCUUAGUAUAACUUUGUACUGGAGUUAGUACAAAGUUCACACACUUAUUUUGGGAUGGAGGGAGUACUAUGUGUAUGGCCAAAGCACUCAUGAUUUUGUAGACAUAUUUUUAAACAAAAGCCUAUGUUUUUUUUUUGCUCAAACAGAGUCACUGGAAAGUGCACA